CAGCCGCCGCGGUAAUACCAGCCCCGCGAGUGGUCGGGACGGUUAUUGGGCCUAAAGCGCCCGUAGCCGGCCCGGCAAGUCCCUCCUUAAAGCCUCGGGCCCAACCCGAGGACGGGGGGGAUACUGCCGGGCUAGGGGGCGGGAGAGGCCGGCGGUACUCCCGGGGUAGGGGCGAAAUCCGUUAAUGCCGGGAGGACCACCAGUGGCGAAGGCGGCCGGCGGGAACGCGCCCGACGGUGAGGGGCGAAAGCCGGGGGAGCGAACCGGAUUAGAUACCCGGGUAGUCCCGGCUGUAAACGAUGCGGGCUAGCUGUUGGGCGGGCUUAGAGCCCGCCCAGUGGCGCAGGGAAGCCGUUAAGCCCGCCGCCUGGGGAGUACGGCCGCAAGGCUGAAACUUAAAGGAAUUGGCGGG
rnacentral:rRNA from 1 species